UAUUUGGAGAGUUUGAUCCUGGCUCAGAACAAACGCUGGCGGCGUGCCUAACACAUGCAAGUCGAACGAGAAAGUCCCUUCGGGGGCGAGUACAGUGGCGCAAGGGUGAGUAACGCGUGAAUAAUCUGUCUUUAAAACUGGAAUAACUUCUCGAAAGAGGGGCUAAUACCGGAUAAGACCACGUCCGGUUACCGGAUGGGGUAAAAGAAUGUGCAAGCUUUCGUUUAAAGGUGAGUUCGCGUACCAUUAGUUUGUUGGUAGGGUAAAGGCCUACCAAGGCGAUGAUGGUUAGCCGGCCUGAGAGGGUGAACGGCCACACUGGAACUGAGACACGGUCCAGACUCCUACGGGAGGCAGCAGUGAGGAAUUUUGCGCAAUGGGGGAAACCCUGACGCAGCAACGCCGCGUGAGCGAUGAAGGCUUUCGAGUCGUAAAGCUCUGUCAGAUGGGAAGAAAAAAAUGACGGUACCAUCAAAGGAAGCCCCGGCUAACUCCGUGCCAGCAGCCGCGGUAAUACGGGGGGGGCAAGCGUUGUUCGGAAUUAUUGGGCGUAAAGCGCGUGUAGGCGGUAAGGUAAGUCAAACGUGAAAGUCAACGGCUCAACCGGGGAAUUGCGUUUGAUACUGUCUUACUGGAGUACGGGAGGGGAGAGCGGAAUUCCUAGUGUAGCAGUGAAAUGCGUAGAUAUUAGGAAGAACACCGGUGGCGAAGGCGGCUCUCUGGUCCGUUACUGACGCUGAGACGCGAAAGCCAGGGGAGCGAACGGGAUUAGAUACCCCGGUAGUCCUGGCCGUAAACGAUGGGCACUAGGUGAAGGAGGUAUCGAUCCCUUCUGUGCCGUAGCUAACGCAUUAAGUGCCCCGCCUGGGGA
rnacentral:rRNA from 1 species